AAAAUUUUUAAAAAUCACAACAUGAUAAUCCCUUGGAAUUAGUGAGAGAGAGUAAAAAGUAAACUCACUAAAAUAGACGGAGGAAAAAGUCACCAACUUGACGGCUAAGUUAACGGCAGGUGAUCUACGUUCACACAAGAGACAGAACCACAAAAGCAGCAAGCUUCAUCAUCUCCCUCUCUCUGUCCGAUCUAAUCGAUCCCUCAAUCACUCAACGAAGUCUCAUCUUUCGAUCUAAUCGACACCCCUUUUCAAUAAUCUCACCGAGAUGAGCUCCGAAGCGUCGGCGGCUGGAGACGGCGGCGAAACGAGCGGCGGGCCAGCACCGGCAUACGACAAACAGAAGGAGAAGGCGCGCGUGAGCAGGACGUCUCUGAUCCUGUGGCACGCGCACCAGAACGACGCAGCCGCAGUCCGGAAGCUCCUGGAGGAAGAUCCGUCUCUGGUUCACGCCAGAGACUACGACAAGCGAACGCCUCUCCACGUGGCGUCGCUUCACGGGUGGAUCGACGUCGUCAAAUGUCUGAUCGAGUUUGGUGCUGAUGUCAACGCUCAGGACAGGUGGAAGAACACGCCUCUGGCUGAUGCAGAAGGUGCUAGGAAGCAGAAAAUGAUCGAGCUAUUGAAAUCUCAUGGCGGUUUAUCUUAUGGUCAAAACGGAAGUCACUUUGAACCAAAGCCGGUGCCACCACCUAUUCCAAAGAAGUGUGACUGGGAGAUUGAACCUGCUGAGCUUGAUUUCUCUAACGCCGCCAUGAUUGGGAAGGGUUCAUUUGGUGAGAUUGUGAAAGCUUAUUGGAGAGGAACACCAGUAGCUGUCAAACGUAUUCUUCCUUCUCUUUCAGAUGAUAGACUUGUUAUUCAGGACUUCAGGCAUGAGGUUGAUUUGCUAGUUAAGCUUCGCCAUCCGAAUAUAGUGCAGUUCUUAGGAGCCGUAACCGAAAGAAAGCCCCUUAUGUUAAUCACCGAGUACUUACGCGGGGGAGAUCUUCACCAAUACCUCAAGGAGAAGGGCGGUCUUACUCCAGCAACUGCUGUUAACUUUGCCUUGGAUAUCGCUAGAGGAAUGACAUAUCUUCACAAUGAGCCUAAUGUUAUCAUUCACCGAGAUCUUAAACCGAGGAACGUUCUUCUGGUUAAUUCGAGUGCAGACCACUUGAAAGUUGGAGAUUUUGGGCUUAGUAAGCUCAUUAAGGUUCAAAACUCUCAUGAUGUUUACAAAAUGACUGGCGAAACAGGAAGCUACCGGUAUAUGGCUCCUGAAGUAUUCAAGCAUAGAAAAUACGACAAGAAAGUCGAUGUCUUCUCCUUUGCAAUGAUACUUUACGAGAUGCUUGAAGGAGAGCCACCGUUUGCGAACUACGAGCCAUAUGAAGCAGCGAAACAUGUAUCAGAUGGACACAGACCUACUUUCCGUUCCAAAGGAUGCACACCUGAUUUAAGAGAGUUAAUAGUGAAAUGCUGGGACGCUGACAUGAACCAGAGACCAUCGUUUCUGGACAUCCUCAAGAGACUUGACAAGAUCAAGGAAACUCUUCCAUCGGAUCACCAUUGGGGCUUAUUCACUUCAUAAAUACACAAAACAGCCUCCUGAAAACACAUUCUGUUUGCUUAUUAUUAUUAUUCUAUGUUUAAAGAUUGUUUAUUCUCAUUUGAUUCACAGUAAACGACAAAAAGGGUGUGACAAAAAAAAGAAGAAGUUUUUGUUGUUCCAUGGAUUUGGAUUGA